UACGGGGGGGGGCAAGCGUUGUUCGGAAUUACUGGGCGUAAAGGGCUCGUAGGUGGCCAACUAAGUCGGACGUGAAAUCCCUCGGCUUAACCGGGGAACUGCGUCCGAUACUGGCAGGCUUGAAUCCGGGAGAGGGAUGUGGAAUUCCAGGUGUAGCGGUGAAAUGCGUAGAUAUCUGGAGGAACACCGGUGGCGAAGGCGGCAUCCUGGACCGGUAUUGACGCUGAGGCGCGAAAGCUAGGGGAGCAAACAGG
rnacentral:rRNA from 1 species